rnacentral:rRNA from 1 species
GUAGGUGGCAAGCGUUGUCCGGAAUUAUUGGGCGUAAAGCGCGCGCAGGUGGGUCUUUAAGUCUGAUGUGAAAGCCCCCGGGCUCAACCGGGGGAGGGUCAUUGGAAACUGGGGAACUUGAGUGCAGGAGAGGAAAGUGGAAUUCCACGUGUAGCGGUGAAAUGCGUAGAUAUGUGGAGGAACACCAGUGGCGAAGGCGACUUUCUGGCCUGUAACUGACACUGAGGCGCGAAAGCGUGGGGAGCAAACAGGAUUAGAUACCCUGGUAGUCCACGCCGUAAACGAUGAGUGCUAAGUGUUGGGGGGUUUCCGCCCCUCAGUGCUGCAGCUAACGCAUUAAGCACUCCGCCUGGGGAGUACGGUCGCAAGACUG